GCCGGAUCCCUAGUAUCCAUUAUGUUCUGAGAUUGCUGUAGUUAUGAGAUUGCUAUGCUUAAUGCUUGUCACUAGGGCUCGAGUGCCAUGAUUUCGGACCUAAACUUAUUAUUUUCUCUCAAAAAAUGAAAAGUGUUUAGAUCCUAUCUUGGAGGUUGUAUGCACCUAUUAUGUGUCUAGAUCCGAAUACCCCAAGGUGACAAUAAUUUGGAUUCUUUCUAGUGAUUGCCGUAGUUUGAGGAGUUCAUGUAUUCACCAUGUGUUAAUGCAUUGUUCCGUAUAUAUAUUAAAAGAAGGCCUUUAUAUCCCUUAGUUACCAAUAGGAGAGGGUAGGACAAAAGAUGGCAUGCAAGUUCUUAUCGCAAGCACGUAUGACUAUGUACAGAAUAUGUGAGUAC
rnacentral:lncRNA from 1 species